ACUCGAUGAUCUGGAUGUUCCUUUUCUGCUGCAUCCUGCCGGUUGUGGGUACCCCUUCAUCAGACUGAUUCCUGCCUGACAGCACAAACAACCAGUAGCGUGCUGGACCUGGGAGGAGAGAGAGAGACGCAUGCGGCUGAUGUAUGGUGAAAUAUAAUAAAACAAUUAAGACAUCAUCGCUCUCUGAGUAAGUCUCUGCUGAAGAAGCUACAGUGGCAUCAGACUACGCCACAGUAUGGUUUACAACAUCUCUAGUCUACAUUAACAAAAGUUAUAAUUUUUUGUUGGUGUUGAGUGUGUAUAUGUCUCUUUCUCUCACUCUCAUAUUGAUUUUUAUUAUUUUGUAAAAAA